GAAUCAAUUUGUUGGUCGUGCCUCGGUACGUACUGGCAUUAUUGGUUUCUACCUUCUGAAGAACCUUGAUGUCAUUAAAUUGGUGUCUUGGGGAAUCAGGACUGUUACUUUGAAAAAAUUAGAGUGUUUAAAGCAGGCUUACGCUUGAAUACAUUAGCAUGGAAUAAUGAAAUAGGACAUCCGAUUCUAUUUUGUUGGUUUCUAGGAUCGAUGUA
rnacentral:rRNA from 1 species